rnacentral:rRNA from 1 species
GACGAACGCUGGCGGCGUGCUUAACACAUGCAAGUCGAACGGUAAGGCCCCAGCUUGCUGGGGUACACGAGUGGCGAACGGGUGAGUAACACGUGGGUGACCUGCUCCGCACUUCGGGAUAAGCCUGGGAAACUGGGUCUAAUACCGGAUAGGACCGCACCGUGAGGGUGUGGUGGAAAGUUUUUCGGUGUGGGAUGGGCCCGCGGCCUAUCAGCUUGUUGGUGGGGUAAUGGCCUACCAAGGCGGCGACGGGUAGCCGGCCUGAGAGGGUGGACGGCCACAUUGGUACUGAGACACGGCCCAGACUCCUACGGGAGGCAGCAGUGGGGAAUAUUGCACAAUGGGCGGAAGCCUGAUGCAGCGACGCCGCGUGGGGGAUGACGGCCUUCGGGUUGUAAACUCCUUUCACCAUCGACGAAGGUUUUCUGACGGUAGAUGGAGAAGAAGCACCGUCUAACUACGUG